rnacentral:lncRNA from 1 species
UUCAUCACUAACAAUUCUGUUUUCACACUUAUCCAGCCAAGUUGCGAGAGAAACCCCUGAAGUAGUCUAAAACACAUAUUCAGUUAUCAAAAUUUUUGGUCCUCAAGUCACUUUGAUUUUACUAAAAGCAAUCAUUUGAAGGACAUCUUGUCAGCUGGAAUCCCAAACAAACAGACGAGCGUGAAACAGGAGAAAAAAGAACAGAAAAAUAAACGUGAAAGAGCUACAUAAUGUGAGAUACCAUCUACUCAAAAGUGUUUUAAUAAGCAGAUUUUGUUGAUUUAUACAUUUCUAUUGCGUGAAUAGAUUCAUUGGAUCUGUAAAACAACACCGGAUUUUAAGGGAUUUUAAACUACAUUUGCUUAAAGACACGGGGCAUUAUCCAAGGGCUGCCAUUCUGUAUGUUGAUACAGCUGUUGACCUACCAGAACCUACAUACUUGAUGAUAAUAACUCAAAAACUGUCUCUUUACCAGCCUUUAAUCAAGUAGGAAAGAUUUGUUGGAGCUCUCACUGCCUUCUAUAAAACCUGCUGUUUGGUACCCAUGGAAUACCAAAUUCUCACAACUGCUAGGCCACUCGCUAGUGCUGUAUAUCCAUACAAUUCUGUCCCAGACCCUGCCUUGUAUGCCUAGCAACAUGUGAAGAUUUCUAUUUCUAAAUCCAGUCAUUCCAGUUGUACUUAUUACUGUCAUUAUGCAGUCUCAUUAAAUAUUAUUAAAAGCAAUUAUUAUGGAUAUGAAGAACAAAAGAUCUACUUCCUCUACAAAAACCAAAUCAAAUGCAUUGAAAAGAGACAAUAAAGUCAGGUCACCUUAAAAAUAAAUACUGUCAUCUUAAGUUUGACCAAGACAACCAUAAAAGAUUGAGGAAGGAAAUCAGAUCAUUUAAAAAUGGGAAGAAUAGUGGUCUUAGAUUGCUUUGUAAGUUUCUGUAAGUUCCUCCUUCACCUAAGAAACUGAAGCUUCACAUGGCCAAUGAUGCUGUGUAGGUGUCACUUGUCUGUGAGAGCCAAUGAAGAACAUUAAUCAGAAGAACCAAACUCAAGAACAAGGUCAUUUCCUGCUUCACAAGGGCCAUCUUUACUUUGAAAGAUACAGAAAGACUGUGUAUAUCCUUGCUUGUGAUCUUCCCAAUCAGUAGCAUCUGUUUCUAGGUCAGAUGGCAUACAAGUUCCUCCUCUGCUAAGAGUUACUGCUUUUGUGCC